CACCACGUAGCUCAGUGCAGAGCGCCGCAAUAAUGUGGGUGCGGAGGUCGCUGGCUCAUACCCAGCCGUGGUGACCA
rnacentral:tRNA from 1 species